rnacentral:rRNA from 1 species
GAUGAACGCUGGCGGCGUGCCUAAUACAUGCAAGUCGAACGAAACUUCUUUAUCACCGAGUGCUUGCACUCACCGAUAAAGAGUUGAGUGGCGAACGGGUGAGUAACACGUGGGCAGCCGGCCCAAAAGAGGGGGAUAACACUGGGAAACAGGUGCUAAUACCGCAUAACCAUAGUUACCGCAUGGUAACUAUGUAAAAGGUGGCUAUACUACCGCUUUUGGAUGGGCCCGCGGCGCAUUAGCUAGUUGGUAGGGUAAAGGCUUACCAAGGCAAUGAUGCGUACCCGAAUUGAGAGGUUGAUCGGCCACAUUAGCACUGAGACACGGCCCAAACUCCUACGGGAGGCAGCAGUAGGGUAUCUUCCGCAGUAGGCGGACGCCUGAUGGAGCAACCCCGCGUGGGUGAGGAAGGGCUUCGGAUCGUAAAACCCUGUUGUUAGAGAAGAAAGUGCGUGAGAGUAACUGUUCACGUUUCGGCGGUAUCUAACCAGAAAGCCACGGCUAACUACGUG